rnacentral:rRNA from 1 species
UACGAAGGGUGCAAGCGUUAAUCGGAAUUACUGGGCGUAAAGCGCACGUAGGCGGAUCGAUCAGUCAGGGGUGAAAUCCCAGAGCUCAACUCUGGAACUGCCUUUGAUACUGUCGAUCUGGAGUAUGGAAGAGGUGAGUGGAAUUCCGAGUGUAGAGGUGAAAUUCGUAGAUAUUCGGAGGAACACCAGUGGCGAAGGCGGCUCACUGGUCCAUUACUGACGCUGAGGUGCGAAAGCGUGGGGAGCAAACAGG